CCAUUCCAAAAAGGAGCAGCUUUACCAAAUCUUUUGCUCACAUUGGAUUUUGGAAAUAAAUAAAAAUGAGGGCUGUGUCUGGCAGUGAUGAAGAUGAAGCAGACCCAUAUGCCUGAUGCUGGAAGCUUUUUGAUUUCAGAGUUGAUGGGGCGAAGCCAGCAAAGAGCUAUAACAGGGACUGUGGGAACUGAUGCUGCAAAUGAGAAAUUAUACUGAGGACACCCUUCCUGCGACACUUUGUUAAAACGACAACAAGAGUUUUCUGGCACAUCAAUUUACUACUUGCCAAAU